rnacentral:misc_RNA from 1 species
AAGUCGUAACAAGGUUUCUGUAGGUGAACCUGCAGAAGGAUCAUUAGUGAAAGUUUCGGGCCUGCCAUACGGACGCAAACACGUCUCUGGCGCCCAUCACUAUAUCCAUACCAACCCCUGUGCACUGUGAUGACGAAUGUCAUCGAACAAAAAAAAUCUCGUAUGGUUGAAUGUACGUGAAAUUGUAGGUAUAGCCUACGAACUAUACACAA